rnacentral:rRNA from 1 species
CCUACGGGUGGCUGCAGUAGGGAAUAUUGCACAAUGGGGGAAACCCUGAUGCAGCAACGCCGCGUGGAGGAAGAAGGUUUUCGGUAUGUAAAGCUCUAUCGGCAGAGAAGAAAAUGACGGUACCUGACUAAGAAGCCCCGGCUAACUACGUGCCAGCAGCCGCGGUAAUACGUAGGGGGCAAGCGUUAUCCGGAUUUACUGGGUGUAAAGGGAGCGCAGACGGCUGUGCAAGUCUGGAGUGAAAGGCGGGGGCUCAACCCCCGGACUGCUCUGGAAACUGUAAAGCUGGAGUGCAGGAGAGGUAAGCGGAAUUCUUAGUGUAGCGGUGAAAUGCGUAGAUAUUAGGAGGAACACCAGUGGCGAAGGCGGCUUACUGGACUGCAACUGACGUUGAGGCGCGAAAGCGUGGGGAGCAAACAGGAUUAGAUACCCGUGUAGUC